UUCUGGGGAUUUCCUAUCAGCCUGAAGGUGCCUGAUCUCAUCUGAUCUCGGAAGCUAAGCAGGGUUGGGCCUGGUUAGUACUUGGAUGGGAGACCACCUGGGAAUACCGGGUGCUGUAGGCU
ensembl:rRNA 5S_rRNA 5S ribosomal RNA